rnacentral:rRNA from 1 species
AGUGAACGCUGGCGGUAGGCCUAACACAUGCAAGUCGAGCGGCAGCACAGGAGAGCUUGCUCUCUGGGUGGCGAGUGGCGGACGGGUGAGGAAUACAUCGGAAUCUACUCUGUCGUGGGGGAUAACGUAGGGAAACUUACGCUAAUACCGCAUACGACCUACGGGUGAAAGCAGGGGACCUUCGGGCCUUGCGCGAUUGAAUGAGCCGAUGUCGGAUUAGCUAGUUGGCGGGGGAAAGGCCCACCAAGGCGACGAUCCGUAGCUGGUCUGAGAGGAUGAUCAGCGACACUGGAACUGAGACACGGUCCAGACUCCUACGGGAGGCAGCAGUGGGGAAUAUUGGACAAUGGGCGCAAGCCUGAUCCAGCUAUACCGCGUGGGUGAAGAAGGCCUUCGGGUUGUAAAGCCCUUUUGUUGGGAAAGAAAUCCAGCUGGCUAAUACCCGGUUGGGAUGACGGUACCCAAAGAAUAAGCACCGGCUAACUUCGUGCCAGCCGCCGCCGUAA